GUUCAAGUGCCAGGAAAUUGUGAUGCUGGGUGUGACGGUCAGGUGUCCACAGACUUUUGGCCAUAUAGUGUUCUUGUUACAAGCUCUGUCUCUUGUCACCUGUUCUUGCAGACAUUGAUGGAAACAUUGUUGUAUACUACAGGUUCACCACUGAGGUAUCUUUAAGUAGCCUACAUCUACUCUAGCCUGCUAAUGUGAAAUUUCAGAAAAGUAAAUGUAUUUAAAACUAAAUUGUGGUCAUUUAGAUAAGCUUUAGGAGAUAGUAAAGUAGAAAUCCAGUUUAUUCCAACAGGUCCACAAGCUUUUUUUCCCCCCACUCACAAUUGUAUACUGUACAUUUGCACAGAUUUAGCCUUUUUAUGUUACUUUUGUUUUAUGCUCAUUAUUUUAGUUUUGCAGUGUUAUAGUUAAGAUAUUGAUUGUUGAUCAUGUUGUACAAUAUACAUGCAGGCAUUUGGUGUCCAAAAAAAAACACCUUUAUUUUUGAAAAUUACUAAAUGAAUGAAUUAGUUAUUUUUCUAUAAGGUCCAACAAAUUCUUUAUAGGACGGAUUUCUGUUUUCUCUUAUACCAUCUUCAUGGCAGUGAAAUAACCUUUUCUGAGAAAUCAGUGACUCACAGAGUAGGCAUCUAUUUUAACUCCCUGUAAUGUGGUGUCGCUUAGUUAGCUUAUUUUUCUGAGUUCCUUUUUCCUUGGGGUUUCUCUGAAUCACCUUUACUAUGCGAAUGAUAAACUUAUCCUCAUUCUACAGACCUUAACACAAACACCUAGCUACAUAUUUAGGGUGGCCUAUUGAGCUAUGGUUUUGCACACAGAUGAUGAAAUAGGACAUUCACCAUCAAAGUCCACUGUGAGGUAUUUAUGGAGAAUAAUUUUCCUCCAUCUGAAAUGCGGAAAAAAGGAGUCUUGUUUUCAGGUUGUUUGCUAUGGUCGACUUGUCCUUAGGUGAAGAAGAACGAGCUAAGUCUUCUGUGUCCUGCUUCCUAACCUCAGAGUUAACCCCAGACUCCGUCUGCCCCCACGCUGCACAACUUAAAUAGGGACAGUAUGGGGCUUAUGGCAGAACCUAGGAUAGAGAGAGAGAGAGAGAGAGAGAGAGAAAGAGUGUGUGUGUGUGUGUGUGUGUGUGUGGAAGUGGCAAGGCAGUGAUUAAUGCUGUUUAUGGUGAUUUAAUGUGUUUAUGAGAACGGUAUUCUGAACAGUUUGGCUAAACCAUAAUUGUCUGAUUAAGCACUUAUAACGUAGCACUGACUCAAUGACAGUGUGCAGUAAAAUGACAGUCAACAAUUUAAACAGUUCCUUCCCCUUAAAAGAAGCGUUGACUGACUGUAAUGGCAUACUAAGAAGUAUUCAAAACCACUUCACUUUGAUAUCUUUAGUAUUUACUGUGAGUACUGCCUUCCUGAAAGUGACGUAACCUUUUUUUUUUUUUGAAUCAUCAAUCAUAGUAUGCUACUUUUACAUUUGCCAGAGAAAUUAUAGAGCUUACUUGGAAUACAAUUUUUAAAGGUCGCUUUAAUAGGACUACUGUUCCUUAAACUUAGGUAUUCUUUUUUAAAACAUCAAAGUAAUAAUACUUUGAUGUGAAUAUCAUUUUGUGUACUUUAUUCACCCGUGCAAAAAGGCGAGGUCGGUUGAAACAGUGUCACAGCAGUGUGUGACCUUGAUUCUUUCCUUGCGUUAUCUCCAAAUAUCCGGUGUUCACUGACCACUUGCGAUGGAAGCAUUUUUUUGGUAUAAAAUUUUUCAUAGAACAAACAUUUGACUCCUUCUAGUUUUUAACCAUCCAUCUAAAUAGCAUGUACUUAUAUGGAAUUUAUGGAACAUGUACUUAUAUGUACUUACUUGUAAAUAUAAUACGUAUACUUUAUUUUAAAGAGUUAGACAAAUGAUCUUAUGCCAUGAUCAUAUGAUAGAUAGAUAGAUAGAUAGAUAGAUAGAUAGAUAGAUAGAUAGAUAGAUAGAUAGAUAGAUAGGUAAGGAAGUAGGUGUACUUUAUUAAAGGGAAAAGUCGUGAAAUGAUUGAGCAAUAUACCAAAACUUUAGUCAGUUUCUGUUUGCUUGAAAUUGAAUGUUUGCCAUGAGUAGGAAUAGAUUCCCAGGAACAACUCUUGCUGUAAAUAUCAAUAUUGACCCUUGUGGUAAUUAUAACUCCCUCAACAUGACUCACCCCAGUGGGGCAUACAGCAAACAGCAAACUUUUCUGAUUUGGAUUACCUGAUCAAGGUAGGGUGAAAUUUAAUUUUGCUAACUUCAAUAUUUAUCUGUUACCACUGCACUGCUGACCUUUGCUGUGCUCCUGGUUUGCCCUAAUACACUGAAAUGAGUUUAAUGAACUAUUACUCAGCAAGCGCUGCAGUUUACAUUAAUGGUAAUGGUAACUGCAGAAUAUGCAAAAAGUGUUUUUAAUAUCUGCCUACUUCCGUCUAAGAACCAAUUUGCUUGUAGAUAUGACAUUGUGUCAUGAUGAAAAAGCCUGUGUACAGGAGCAGCAUGUCCUUUCGGUUCUCUCCCUUUCUGCCUUGUCAAUCAAUGAGGGGAAAAAAGUAGUUAAAUCUCUCUGUUAGCCAUACAUGUAAUUACAGCUUGCCAAACUGUUACUAAAUAUGCUCUCACUGGGUUUCUGGUUUUGUUUUUUCCUCCCCUUUCCCCUUUUGAAGGAGUUCUAAUUGGUGGAGACAGUGUGUCAGGAUUAGAGGCUGGGUGUCUUAAACCCCAACACCCCCCAAAACCACAUGUCCCCCCCCCAGGCUCUGCGCUGUACUGCAGUUUUUGUGUAGACUUUGCAGAUCUGUGUUUACUGUGGUCUGACUUUCAGCACCUCUGCACUGUUCCCAUAAUGACACCUACAAACCCCUCUUCCUAAACACGGCUGCAAAUAUAUUCCCACACACAGUAUGGGUUGGGAUACGGGUGGACAAUCUGGCUGCACUUUAUUAAACCUGACUUCUUUGUUGGCUAGCCUUUCAGCUCAGUCCGGAAGAGCAGUUCCCUUUAAGCUGUUUAUCAUACAGUAUGCGCAAGUUAUACUUUAACCAAUUAUGAUAAUUAGAACAAAAGCAAAAAAGGUGAAUGUGAACAGGAUUGUUCUUGUGUGCUGUACAGAAAUGCAAAUAUAAUGUAGGGAAUUCAACACAUUCACAGAAUUUUCAAUUGGCAUUAUGGGAGACUACAAAAUGAACCAUGACUGAUCCAGUACGUCUAACAAUGUUCUGUUUAAAUUCUGAAAGCCCUGUAUAUGACCAUUACAACAAGAUCUAAUCAUGUUUACCAUAGUAAAAACCCAAAACUGACCACCUUAUUUGUAUGUCAGCUCCCAUGGUAGCACCCUCCUGCUCUGAUGCUGUAUAGAACAGAUCUGGAGGUGUAAGACAGGUGUAUGAGUGCAAUCAAUCAGCUUCUAUCGUCACCUCGUCUUGCCAGCGCUGUCGACUCUGCGUCCACUCCAUUGACGGUGCUGUACUCCCGGUGCACCUCAGCCGUCUCCACUCCACACACUUCCUGUCUCAGCAGCACGGCUUAAGCAAACACAGCACACAAAAGCCCCACAGUGCCACAGCCUGCGAGCCAAACGUGUAACACUGUUAAAGCCCCGGUUCAAGCAACUGUCAGAGUUGCUCUGCCAAGGCCUCAUGGGAUGUGUUUGUGUUCAGUUUUGAUUAACUUUUUAUACACCUUUUUAUUAACUUGAAGUCAUACACAAGAUGUAAACGGACAUGGUGUGUUGGAGGAAAGAGAGAGCAGGAUUCACAUAGUACCCAAGGGCACACAAUAUAUCAUUACACUCUAUUGUCCCUCAGUGUACUCUAUGACCAGCAGCAUAUCUCUAACAGACAUGUACUUGGACCACUUGUUUGGUUUCAUGUUCAAUGAAAUCGAAUUGAAAUAGAAACAAAUGAGCAAUCAGUUGAAUCUUUGGGAGUAACCUGCAGCAAUUGUGCGCCCACACAAUAAAUAUAUGAAUUUUUUUUAAAAAAAGCACGGCCAUGUAUGCCCAUGCCUGCUGCCUGACAAGGCUGACCCCCUGCUGGGAGCAUGGAGCCACGUUUCUGUGUAAGGGCAGACUGAAUUUCCUACAUCCACCUACCAGGCUGCUCAAUAGUACAACCUCGGAUUAAUCAUUUGGCCUAGGUCACAGUAGCAACACGGGACACAGAGUUCAUACAUGUUAAGCAGAAGUAUCUUAAAGGUCAAUCCUUGCUUUUAAAUAUAUAAAAUAUUUGAUAUAUUCUGCAGCCUGUGUCUUAUCUACAUAAUGUGCCAAUACAAGCUCAUAGUAUAUGCAUUUAGAGUUUUAAGGUAUACAGAUCUCUAAUAGCUUGUUUACAGUUGCUGUAAUUUUCCAUAAUGGCACUGCUGUACAGUAUGGCUGUUACGCUAAGACAGCUUCGGUAUCAUAUCAACUGAGUACUAAUUAACCCGGCUUUGGCUGCCUGUUCAAGGGAAAUGGGGGCAACGCAGCAUCACACUUGAGUUAUGUCGCUUUUUUGUUUGCUUUUUUCAUGACUGUGUUGCAACAGAGUUCAAUUGACCUGGAGCUGUGAAAGGAUCCGGGAAUAAAAGGCUAAAGGAGACCAAUCUAUUUACCUCCUUCUCUUUCUCUCGUUCUCUCACUCACUCUCCUUUCGCCUCUCGCCGCUUCCCCUUUAUUCCUCAGGUAAAACAUUUACAGACACUCAGUCAAUAAAUGUUCAAGCUGUUCUGUGAUGUGAACUUGUGCAGGUAAUGCAAAACCUGUCCAUUCUGGAGUUGUAAGACAGCUCAGACUAAAUCUUAAGAUCAACUCUCUCUCUGCUUUUUUUUUUUUUUUUUUUUAACGCAGGUUUGGUGAUUUUUGUGGGAUGAGGGAUCUUUGUUUAGCCUGUCAAAUAAAACCUUCAGUUUAAAUAAACAAAACAUUGAACUUGUCAAAUAAAAACCACCAACUUGUUUGAUUUUGGAACAACCAUUUAGGUCCCAGAGGGUUGACCUUUCAGUGGUUUCACCCAGAAUCUGUACAUGAAUGCUUCAUGUGCAACCUUUUUUUGGCAGGAAUAUGUCAAAUAAACAUUUAGACAUGAAAAAACAUGAAGACAUGCCAAAAUAAAGUUGGACUUGGUUGGUCAGCAGUUCGUAAGCUUUGUUAAUAUAAAUAAAAUGUGUAUUGUGUCUCUCGUUGUAUUACAAUCUAAAUGACACAGGCGCUAACAAGUCAAAGAAUAGAUCUGAACAGUGCUACACAGUUUAUUGCACCAAGAAAACACACCUUUGAGUCUGGAUCACUCCAGCACAGCUGGGCAUUGAGCCGAUGUGAGUUCCUAUCACAUCUGGCCUUACAGAGCACAAUGUUUUCUCCCAUUCUUCAUCCAUCUCUCUGUCUCUCUCUCCCUCACACACACACACACACACACUCUCAUGCACUGUUCUAGCAAAGUCCAUUACUACUCUAAAAAUAUCAAGAACUGCAAAUGCAAAUAAUUAUAUAAAAGCUCAUGAGCGCAAAUAUAUAAAUAUAAAGUACAUAAUGAAUUUAUUGAUAUUUGCUUUUUCAGAGCUGAGGGAGUGGCGGAGCAGUGGCGCACCAGAGCGGCCCUGGUGCUCUUUAAAGUGGUGCUCUGGGCUGUGGGAAUGUACGCUUUUGGGUCGUGGCACUGAGCGAUGGUGAGCAAGCCUGGCUUUCACUCACACAACAUCCCUGAUCGCUCCGCUUGGCUGUUCAGGCUAUACCUUUCAUUUUAAGAGCUUUCCAUAACAUGCCAGCCACCAUAUUAAGUGUCAGGAUAUUUCUGCCUUUCCUCUCUCUGGCUCUCUUUCCAUCUCUCUUUCUCUCUCUCUCGCUCGCUCUCUCAUUUAUUUUGUCCCUUUUUCUCUCUUCCUGUACUUCUUAUUCUUUUUCUCUUCAUUUAAAGAAGUCUAAUUUAUGUCCAGGAAAGGCUGUUAUGAAGAGAUAGUGUAUAUGUUGAUUAAAGCUUAGGAGACAAUGGCAUUAGUCAUUAUUAUUUCCACUGAUUAGGAAGUCAAUCCGAUGAAUUCUGCUCUUCUGAAGUAGCGUGAUUGAGUGCCAGCUGUUGACAUGUCGACUCCAAGAUCAGAGGGCAGUGUUUUGGUUUUGGUGCAUCUGGACGCUGGUCUCUGAUUGCACUUGUCUGCUUUAAAUCACUAUUGAUGACAAAUUUGAGCUGAGGUGGGGUCUUUAGCACACGCUAGCUUGGUCAGGCAGCAGCUCCCGGUUUUCGGCGGCUGUGUGGGAGUUGCCAUUAUUACUUCCUUCAGAUUUUAAUCUUUUGUUAACAUGAAGUUUGUUCAAUGAGUCCACUUCAAUUUCCUUCCUAGUCUGGAUUUCAACUUUCAAUUGUGAGUACACACUGGAACCCUCCACCCAUGUCUAUAUGUGGAAAUAAAGCUCAAAUUUAAAAAAAAAAGUAGAUAUCUUUAGAUGUACGGGAACUUAGUAAAUUGUCUGUCACGUGACCCUAUCGCUUAUGAGCUGAUUAUUUAGGUAUUACAUGCUCGAGAUUUAAACUGGUGACUGUCAUGUGUUUCAAGUAGUUUGCAAAGUGAAUGAGUGAUAAUGUGCUUUUCAUUAAACCUAACUCACUGACUAUAACUCUGCUCGGAUUGAAAUCUAUAAACCAAAGCAGUAGAGUAAAUAUAACCUUACUGUAAACAUCCUGUUCGGUAUAAUCGCCAUGGCGCAGCUCCUUGACCUGUAGCUGCGCUCAACCAGGCCUUCUUUUCUCACCUCUGCAGUCUACACAAACUGAAAGAGCUUUGGACUAAUUUAAACACAACACAUAUCUGUAAGUUAAGGUACAAAUACAGUACACACACAAAUCGUGAUGACAGAAAAGCUAUCAGCAAUAAAUCAGACUGUGGCUUCUGAAUGAUAUAACUAACUCCAGUCAGUGUGCUGCUUUUAAGAACUUUUUCUUCAAGCAUUCCCCUUGAUGAUAUGUGAGCCUGCAUUCAUUGCAGUGCGGUAUUUUUGUCCAUUAUGGUGCUAGGUGAGCACGUUUGUGGUGUGGCCAUGUUUACCUGUGGUCAGAUCGGCUAUACUGCCCUGCUGUGAGCCUUCGUCUACAUAUAGGUGAGAAAGGGAGUGAGGGGACCUGAAAACAGAUGCGGAAAAAGUUAAAAUUAGAAGAAAAGGCCCUACUAUUUUUCAGUGCUACAGCCAUAAACAAAAUGCCAGUCGGAAUGACCAGGGCGUUCAUUCACUAAUUUAAUUGGGUUUCUAAAUUCUGAACCUCACAUAAAGCAAGGCAUGUAAAUAAAAAAAAUAAAAGACAUUUGCGUAUGACUUCAUCAUUCAGGUACAGACUCGUCUGAUAAAUCGUCUGUCCCUCUCCAGGUGUCAGUCACAUUAAAUCAUCCCAUGUGCUAAUUGUUUUGAACCUCUUGCAGACUGAUGCGACAAAAAAGAGAGAAGCAAGAGAGAAAAGGAGAGAAUGGGUCCUGCGUGUCCAUGUUGUAUGGGUUUGUCUCGUGAUCCUCUGCGGGAUGCCGCUGUCACCCCGGCUGUGGCUAGCUGCUCUGCUGCUGCUGCAGGCUUCAAAGAGUGCAAGCCUGCCCACAGCCCUAAUUAGAGGGUCCCUGCCCAGAGCUGGGGACAAGCUAGCGGAAAGUGUGCGCAAGUGCACACACCACGCUUCGCUAGCAGCAAGCCGACAUGGGCCGGGGAUGAAGGGAGGAGUAGCAACCUCAUCACAUCUGUCCCAUGAUUCCUCUGCUUUACUCUCUUUAUCCACAAACACACUUUUCUCACUUCCUGUUUUAUUCUCUCAUCCUCUCAUUCCUGUCUCUUUCCCUGUAUUUUCUGUGUAAACACUGUUCAGGGAAAAGGAAGCAUUAAAGAAAUGUCUUGGUUUGAGAAAGAUGACCAGCAGCUAGCAGGAAAUUACUUGUAGCGUUCAUGUUAUAGCUUCUAUUCAAGUACGUGUGCGAAACAACCCAAGACAGCUGCUGUGGAGAUGGAUAUGGAGAAACAUGUGCUGCCCAAAACCCCAAACCCAAAUGAAAAAACAAUCACUAUGCUUCAGUAAUCACCAUGACAACUCAUCCUCAUCCCUCUCUUUCCAUUAUCGUCUCCUUCCUUUUUCGCUCCAUAAGCAGACAUUGUAUACUAACGCUGUUUAUGUUAACGCUAGCCCAUCAUUGUUUAUGUUACCUGAGGUUUUAACUGUUUUGACCAUAUUGUUACAGCCUAGUUAAAGGAAACGGGCUGUUAGCCAGCACACAGCUGGCAGGGCCAGCGGCGGUGUAGUAAAAUAUAAAUAUAAUAAGAACGUUUUUGAGCUGGUGUAUCCAUUCUGAGCAGUGAAACAUCACCACAAUGACCACAGCUGUGGCAUACGUGCAGGAACGAAAAAAAAGGCCAGGCCUCAGGAGCUUGAGAGAGGGAGCCAGCAGGAGCAAGGAGCAGGCAAAGAUGUGCAGCAUGCGCUUCUACUGCAUAUUUAAUGCUGGAGUCAGCAUAUUUGUCCUAAACACUAGUAGCAUCCUCUCACGUUCAUCAUCAACUUCACAGACAUGCUCAUGAUUCUUCCUGUUUUGACUUUAAACGACUUAUUGUUUCUGUACAUUUAUGUUUUCCCCUCACAUUGUGAAGGGCCCUAUUUCUAGUGUGGUGCAAUAACAGUUUUGAAGACUAAAGCUGAAAUGAAAUGCUGACAGUCCAGUACCUAACUGCUCUUCCUAAUAACAGUCUUAUAUUUAGCUGAGAGGACUUAGGCCAAUGGAGAUCAGGGAGGAUUUUGGGUAACCAGGAAAAAGGAAAAAAAGUGAAGGUGGUUCUGAAGGUAUAGCAACAGAAAGAGAAAGCGAGGGGGCAGCUUCCACAGGCUGCCAUUGAUGCAUUGAGUUAUUCAGGGCUCUGGACUUUGGGCCUCAAUUACAGCUAUUUGGCAGGAGCACUUACGCAGAGAGACGCGGCUGUGGCAAGUCCGGACCACGCUGCCCGACCCUUCGCUCUUCCCCUGGGCAGUGCUUUGUUUUUUUAGCAGGCCGCUAGCUCAGGCCGCUUUUAGCCUCUGCUUUUAGACAUCUCUGGUAUUAUUUUUUCCUUGCUUGCUCCAACGAUGGCCUCAGCCGUUCAGGGAGCCCAAGUGCUUGGAGAGGGAAUAAAAUGAUCAGUCACUGACAGUGUACUUCCUGUAUGCAUAAAUUCUAUGACAUAUGUCUCAUCUCUUCGUUUUCUUCCAAGAAAACCUCCAACCUCUGCUGAUUUCAUUAUGGAUCUGGAUUAACUGAUGCAGAAUGACUGCUGAAAAGUUUGCGAUUGAGGCGAAAAUUUGCGAUUGAAGAGACAAGGAAAGACAGAAUGUGUGUGUGUGUGUGUGUGUGUGUGUGUGUGUGUGUGUGUGAGAGAGAGAGAGAGAGAGAGAGAGAGAGAGAGAGAGAGAGAGAGAGAGAGAGAGAGAGAGGACUUCUCCAUAAGGCUGUUGCGGACAGCAGGAAGUGGUGAGGGGAAAAAACUGCAACUAUUACCUUGAGGAGAACAAAAGGCCGACACUGAAACACCGAAUCCCACCACAAUCCACAAGAACGCCAGUCCUGCAGUAUAAAAACAACUAAAAACAGAGUUGUUUACCAUUUAAUACCAGAAAAACACCAAUUUGCCUAUGCUCUCUCUCUCUCUCUACCUCUCUUUUUUCCUCCUUCGCUUCCCAUAUCCCUCUCUCCCGUAUAUCUUUUGAGGUUUAAGUCCUUGGUUAGCUCUAGUACUCAUGUGACAGCCCUUCACUUACUUUACUGCCAGUGAUUGGCUGGUAUUAUGUCAAAAGCACCCAUCUCCCCCUAGUUUAUCCCUCCUGUCCUCUCAUUUCACAAGAGAAAAUUAAUAACUCCGCUACAUCAAUGGUCUUGGGCUGUGAUCUACACUGCUGCUCUCGCUCGCCUCAUGCUCAGCAGCCACUGCAGCACUCAUAGCCAUUCAGGUUGUGGGCUCUCCUCCUGAGGGUGGAAAGUAAUUCUGAGUGGAUAUGAAUACAUCUGAAGUAUCUGAAGUAAUGUCAACUCUCUAGUUCAAUAGGCAGGCCUUGAGUUAAUGUUCUUAAAUGUACUUCCUCUAAAGAGACAAGGACACAGUCCAUAGGAUCCGCACACUCUGUAAUUGGGUCUCUGUGACCUACAGUUUUAUCUGCCAUACAAGUACAUCCGUAUGUUCCAUAUGUACAUAAAUCCAAAAUCUGCUUUCAAUUCACCCAAGCCUCCCUCACACAUAUAUUUAUUACAAGUGUAGUGCUGCAUCUUCUCCUACCUUUCUAAGUAAUAGAAAAUGGGUAUUUAAACUCAAAAUCAGUUCCAUUCCUUGAAGGAUCAAUGUAUUAUAAGUGAUCAAAAGCAUGAAGGCAUUGGUGAAAGAGUGAAUGAGAAUGAGAUAGCAGUCAUUUUGGUGAAAGAGUGAAUGAGAACAAGAUACCAGUCUUUUUUGGUGAAAGAGUCAAUGAGAAUGAGAUAGCAGUCAUUUUUAGUGAAAGAGUGAAUGAGAAUGAGAUACCAGUCUUUUUUGUGGAAGAGUGAAUGAGAAUGAGAUAGCAGUCAUUUUUAGUGAAAGAGUGAAUGAGAAUGAGAUAACAGUCUUUUUUUGUGGAAGAGUGAAUGAGAAUGAGAUAGCAUCUUUUUUGGUGGAAGAGUGAAUGAGAAACCAGUCUUUUUUUGUGAAAGAGUGAAUGAGAAUGAGAUAGCAGUCAUUUUGGUGAAAGAGUGAAGGAGAAUGAGAUAGCAGUCAUUUUGGUGAAAGAGUGAAUGAGAAUGAGAUAGCAGUCUUUUUGGUGAAAGAUGAAUAAGACUUAUAUGCCAGUCUUUUUUGGCGAAAGAGUAAAGGAGAAUGAGAUAGCAGUCAUUUUUGGUGAAAGCGUGAGUGAGAAUGAGAUAGCAGUCAUUUUUGGUGAAAGGGUGAAUGAGAAUGAGAUAGCAGUCUUUUGGUGAAAGAGUGAAUGAGAAUGAGAUAGCAGUCAUUUUUGGUGAAAGGGUGAAUGAGAUAGCAGUCUUUUGGUGAAAGAGUGAAUGAGAAUGAGAUGGCAGUGCUUGAUUUUGCUCUUUACUUCUCUGUCCCACAUGAGGACAGACAGACUUAAACAGAAUUAAAAUAUCGUAUUAUAAAAUACUCCCCUGAACCAAAAUACUUCAUCCACACAAAUAAUAAAAAAUAUAAAUUAACGCCAGACCGCAUACGUUGGUAAAUUU
ensembl:lncRNA